UACGUAGGUGGCGAGCGUUGUCCGGAUUUACUGGGCGUAAAGGGAGCGUAGGCGGGCUUUUAAGUGAGAUGUGAAAUACCCAGGCUCAACUUGGGUGCUGCAUUUCAAACUGGAAGUCUAGAGUGCAGGAGAGGAGAAUGGAAUUCCUAGUGUAGCGGUGAAAUGCGUAGAGAUUAGGAAGAACACCAGUGGCGAAGGCGACUCUCUGGUCUGCAACUGACGCUGAGGAGCGAAAGCGUGGGUAGCGAACAGGAUUAGA
rnacentral:rRNA from 1 species